rnacentral:rRNA from 1 species
CUUGGUCAUUUAGAGGAAGUAAAAGUCGUAACAAGGUAACCGUAGGUGAACCUGCGGUUGGAUCAUUAUCACGUAUCCACGUAUCAACCAUUGUGAACUGUCCAUCUUUGGGGAGGAGAGGUGAGUGUGUUUGGGGGCAUUACGGAACUCUUUCUUGUGAUUUAUGGUUUCGCUCACAAACACCCUGGGGUUCUCGAACCCCACAUCGUUUCUCUCUGAAGUGUAAUUUUUAAAUCACACUUUGAUUAACAAUUCGAACCAAACCUCUAUAACUUUUGAACUGACUUGUUUCUUUCUCUUUGGAGAAGAAAUUAUUUUACGAAAUAAAGAACAACUCUUAGCAACGGAUAUCUUGGUUCUCGUAACGAUGAAGAACGCAGCGAAAUGCGAUACGUAAUGCGAAUUGCAGAAUUCAGUGAAUCAUCAAAUCUUUGAACGCAAAUUGCGCUUUCUGGAUAGGCCAGGGAGCAUGCCUCUUUGAGUAUCGUUUCUACCCCAUCUCGUCAACCUUUUUUUGGUUGACGGACAUUGAGUGUCUCAAUCGAAACGAUUGAGUUACUUUAAGAAGCGCGAGUUUUCUAACCUCUGGGUGUAUUGCUUUUCGGAGCGCUUUGUCUCUGGAUGACUAUCACUAGUGGCGUGGAUAAUAAUAAUUUUCUAUACGUCAUUCGGUCGGUAGUCAAUCUUUGGAUUCGAGGUUUGACACUUGGGGAAACCUGAAACUCGAUGGAAAUUAAACAUUCUUUUUUGAAUUAGAUCUCAAAUGAAGCAAGAUUACCCGCUGAACUUAAGCAUAUUAUUAAGCGGAGGAAAAGAAACUAACAAGGAUGCCCUCAGUAACUGCGAGUGAAGCGGGCAAAGCUCAACGUGAAAAUCGGGUUCCUUAGCGGGAUCUCGAAUUGUGGGCUACAGACGUGUGAUCAGUGUGUGACCCAGGUAUAAAUCUCUUUGAAACGAGGUAUCAUAGAGGGUGAGAAUCCCGUCUGUGACUUGGAGAUCGCCGCGUACGAUCCGCGCUCGCAGAGUCGCGUUGUUUGGGAUUGCAGCGCUAAAUGGGUGGUAAAUUUCAUCUAAAGCUAAAUAUCGACGAGAGACCGAUAGCGAACAAGUACCGUGAGGGAAAGAUGAAAAGAACUUUGAAAAGAGAGUUAAAAAGUACUUGAAAUUGCUAAGAGGGAAGCACUGGAAGCCAGUCGUGACCCGCGUGUAUAUUUACCACCUGCUCCUGGAUUGUGUGUGCGUGCCGACCCAAAAGGCGGUUAGCUAGCACAUGAAAAUGUGGGUGUUCCCUGUACUGUGGGUUGGGUCAGAAUCAAUUCGAUCCGUGAGAGAAAGCUAUCACAACGGUAGGACCGCGGGGGCAACUCCAAGGUCUGUUUAGUGUGGUAGUGCUAUCAUGGGUUGGAUUGAGGGACAAUCGAAACGCGCACCACUAGGUUAUCCGUUCCCCGAAUCUGGUACCUCAAGAGGCGUGGACAACAAAGUUGUGCUGUUUCUGAAGGGUGCUACUACGAAGGAUGAACGAGACGCUGCGUUCGAGAUUCUGACGAAAUGGCUUUCAUUGACCCGUCUUGAAACACGGACC